AGUAGAUUAUUUAUUGUAAUGAGAAAUUAGGACUCACACCAAAGAAUUUAUGCGUUAUUAGCUAUAUACCAAAGUCUACUGUUUGGACACUGUUUGCUUUUUUUUUGGACUCUGAUACCCCUAUUUAGAUGUAAAGAACUCUACGAUUUCAAUAGGAAGAAGCAUCAUACUCCAGCAGUGCACUGAAAAAACUCAAGCUCUGGUGGUGUACUGAAAUCUCAAUCUCGCCACUUUCGCUGCGUCUCCGGUGAAUCUCUCUGCAGCUGCGUCCCUUAUGAAGCUCUUGGUGAAUCUUGCGGAUUUUGCGUCUCCAGUCAAGCUCUCCGUCUCUGCGUCUCCGGUGAAUCUUUCAGCCGCAGCGUCUCCAGUGAAACUUUCGAGGUUGAAACUAUGGAAUCUGAAAUAGAUAAUCACAAUCAGGAUAAGAAAGAUCAUGAGAUAGGCUUUUCUUGUCUCAAGGUUGAAGAUAUGGAAGCUGAAAUAGAGAAACUCAUUGUGACAAUGACAAAGGAAGAUCAAGAAGAAGAUAAAGAUAAUGGCAAACUCAUCGUGUCUCUGUCUGAUAUAUACAUGUGUGUGUGUUAAAUAUGUAUGGUACCUACAUGUUAAACCUCAAUCUUAUUUAAACCACAUGUUAUUCUUUGGUUUGACAUUUAAGCGAAGAUCUUGUUUAUUAA